rnacentral:lncRNA from 1 species
UUUAAUUAAUGUUUUUUAAUUUGGUCAAAUAUUCAAAUUAUGUCAAUUUAAAAAAAACAUACAAUGAAAUAGCAGCAAAUAUCACAUCUUUUUAAUACUAUGUCGUUUACAAACAAUAUUAUUAGUGAUUUUAAAAAGUUGAUUAGUUCAGUUCAAACAUUAUAUUAUCAUCCCAGUAACUAUGAUUUGCCACAUUACGAUUUCCGUUCGUCAGGUAUUUAUGAUUGAAGAACCGAAUUUGCAAUAAUUGUUCCUUGUAAACGAUAUAGUAACAUCCAAUU